rnacentral:rRNA from 1 species
AUUGAACGCUGGCGGCAGGCUUAACACAUGCAAGUCGAGCGAGCGGCGGACGGGUGAGUAAUGUCUGGGAAACUGCCUGAUGGAGGGGGAUAACUACUGGAAACGGUAGCUAAUACCGCAUACCAUCAGAUGUGCCCAGAUGGGAUUAGCUAGUAGGGGGGGUAAAGGCUCACCUAGGCGACGAUCCCUAGCUGGUCUGAGAGGAUGACCAGCACACGUGGAACUGAGCCACGGCCCAGCUUCCUCCGGGCGGCAGCAGUGGGGAAUAUUGCACAAUGGGCGCAAGCCUGAUGCUGCCAUGCGGCGUGUAGGUAGAAGGCCUUCGGGUGGUAAAGUACUUUCAGCGGGGAGGCGUUACCCGAAGAAGAAGCACCGGCUAACUCCGUGCCAGCAGCCGCGGUAAUAC